rnacentral:misc_RNA from 1 species
ACAUAAUAGAGGAAAUUCGAGAUACGAUACCCUGAAAGUCUGUUAGAAAUGGAAAUUCAGUUUCAGGGUAAACGGGCGCUUGUCACAGGUGCAGGGAAAGGAAUAGGAAGAGCUAUUGCCAAGAAGCUAGUGGAAUGUGGUGCAGAAACUAUAGCACUGAGUCGGACCCAGGCUGACCUAGAUAGCCUGAAAGCCGAGGUUAAAGGGAUUAUUCCAGUUCUCUGUGAUGUGGCAGACUUUGAUGCCACCAGAAAAAUUGUUCAAAGCCUGGGUCCAAUCCAUCUCCUUGUCAACAAUGCAGGGAUUACACGUCUGGGCAGUUUCCUGGAAUUCUCCAUGAAAGAUUUUGAGGAGUAAGUUGGUUUUUUUACCUCGUCAUAUUCCCAAUUUAAUACUUUGCUUUAAAAUUUUCAUUUACAUAAUUAAAAGAACUUGAAUAUAUAUCAUGGAAAACAUGCAACCAACUCUUUCUGACAACUGGCAAACAGACAGAACUAGUACUCUUUGUAGUAUUGUAAAUAUUCAUAACUGUAUGCAGGGUUAUUUUUGCCCCGAGUAAUUUUUGCCCUUCAACACUUGCAAACAAUUUCUACCCAUGUUGGAAUUGCCCAAACGCAGUUGUGUUUUAAGGGAGAUAAUUUGAGACCUUGGAAUUUGCUUACUCUUAAAUUCGCUCACUCACAUGAUGGAGAAAGGGCCAAAAACAAUGCAAUGGCAAAUAUUUCCCUGUAUACAGUAUUUUCAGUUUAAGAAUGCUUUUAUUUCAUUUCAGUGUUUUGAAUGUAAACACCAAGGCUGUAUUUAACAUGUCUCAGGUAGGCAGUUUCUGAUUUCAUGCUCAUUUAAAAUACCAUAUAAAACAAGCUGUUCCUAAUUAAAAAUACUAUACAUGAUGUAGUUCAUACAGAUAUAUAUAUUGCAAAGUUGCAGAGGGAUUGUGCACAUUGAAUUGUAGAAUACAACUCAAUUCAAAACAUGUUUCAGUUUUAAGAGAGAAGUUGAUAAGAAUGUAAUUUAAGUACAGGUGGUGGCAAAGGGUAUGGUGGAGAGAGGAGGUGGAGGCUCCAUUGUAAACAUUUCUAGUGUGGCGUCUACACGGGCCUUGGACGAACACAUAGCCUAUUGCACCAGCAAGUCUGCUGUCGACUCCAUCACUAGAGUCAUGGCUCUGGAGCUUGGCAAACACAAGGUACCCCUUUAUAAACAGUGUUGUGCUUAUUCUCAUACAAUAAACACAAGGUACCAGUAUAUAUAUAGGCCAGGCUCCGAUUUCUCAAAAAAAUUACCGGUAGGUUUUUCUCCAAGUUUGAUCUCAAAUUGUGAGAAUUUACUCAGCGGAGAUUUUUCUCGCUUCUCAAAUCAAACUUCGUUAAUUCUCAGCUGAGUUAAAUUUUUUACAUAGCUGAGUCAUUAGAACAAUUUUAACAAGACCUUGGACUUCAGUCGGGCAUAGCUAUCUAUUUCUUGCGUCAAAACAAGUUAAAAAUGACGUGGUUCCAAGCGAAAUAUGCACCGAUUGUGUAGUCUUAGCUCAAAAGCCAGACAAAUCUUGUUGAUUUCAAAGAGCCACGGGUGAGUGGCCAACAAUGAAAUAGACAGGCCUACGUCACAGUGCUGUUUGAUAUAACUACCCAAAGUCCAAGCUCUUGUUAAAAUGGUUCUAAUCAUCAUAUUAAAUUUGGCUCAGUGGUUCUAGAGAAGAAGUCAAAAAUGUGAAAAGUUUACAGAUGGAUGGACAGACGGAUGACAGAUAGGAGGAUCAGGAACGCUCACUUGAACCUUCUGUUCUGGUGAGCUAAAAAUGACCAAAUAUCCACUUUAAAAGGUUAUAAAAUCUUGUAUUCUCUUCCAUAAAUUGCAUUUUGGUGUAUUAAUGCAGUGAAAUGCAUGUAGUGUUAUACAUGUGUUGUAUUUUGUAGAUCCGUGUGAACUCAGUCAAUCCCACAGUAACAUGGACAGACAUGGCCGCAUUUGCUUGGAGUGAUCCAGCCAAGUCAGGGCCCAUGCUGGCCAAAAUACCAAUGGGGAAGUUUGUGGAACUGGAAGAUGUUGUGAAUACCGUUUUAUUUUUGCUGAGUGACAAAAGUGCCAUAACCACAGGACAGCACAUCAUCUUGGACGGAGGAAUGUCCGCUUGUUGACUGCCCAGCCAGAUGAGGGACAUACUUUGUGUUCUCUCCCCAUUGAUCAUACAACAGCCACUGAUUGGCUGAUAUGUGAUAACCAAAUUUUGUGCUACGCAAUAAUUUUGUUGAUUUGAUCUACUCUGUACGUGGAAUGUACUCCGAAUGAAGGGAUCAAACUUUUGAUUGAUGACAGUGACUGUGAUAUAUUUGAUCAUUGUAUGAUCUUGUGUGAAGACAUUGAUUGUUGAAGAAAAGACAGUAAAAGAAUGAUUCACAUGUUUAAUGAUGAUAUACUGGUACAUGUACCAGAACCAAUGUUAUGGGGCUCAAUAAAAUUGUGCAAUUACAAUC